UGAUGACAUGUUGACGUGUUGUAAAGUUAUCAUUGUUGACGACAGUGCCAUAUCUAAUCAUGCCGGAGUGUUUUGCCUUGCGAUGUUCAGCUUGUUCUUGUUUCUUAAAUUUUUUUGUUAGCUUACUUUGUUAAGUUCCUCUUAUGGCUGGUGGGAGGAUUAUUUAGCUGACCAAGUACAGUAUGAUGGUAAUAUCAAAUCUACGAUUAUUAAAGCAUCUUUUGUGUAGGUAUCGUAAACAGACUUAGCGCUGUAGUAUCUUUCAGAAUCAUUGUUAGGUUAAUGAUGUUGCAAGUUUCCCUUUGACAGAUUUCUCAAGCAUUGGCAAGGCUACAGUAACGAGGAGUGUCAGCAACUACAAUUAAUUCAUUUAUCCAUGGAAUUGGGAUAACAAAAAGAGGUCUCAAGAAAGAGAAAAUAACGUGUGGUUCAAGCAGCAAGAAGAUAGCCAGCCUAAAUGAAUCAAAACAAGAACAAGCGUCGGGAAUUUACAAAUGAGGAAGUGUAGCUGGUGAUGUAAUUACUUUCAAUAGCGCUUCAGCUCUGCAAUCGACAGUUUGACCUCUUGCUAGGGCAGCCUCAGCCAGUUGCCUCUUCUAUUAAAGGGUCCCUCAGCUACUUAUGCUUUGCUAGACAAUGAGGAACCCUUUCUUUUUCCACAAGGGGCAGUAGCUGGGUAUCAUUCAGGAUAUAUACACAAAAGAGUAUAGAACCAAAUUAUAUGAUGUAAUUGACCACUAUUUCUAUUAACUUCUCCUGUAGACAA